rnacentral:rRNA from 1 species
CAGGCCUAACACAUGCAAGUCGAACGAGACCUUCGGGUCUAGUGGCGCACGGGUGCGUAACGCGUGGGAAUCUGCCCUUGGGUUCGGAAUAACAGUGGGAAACUACUGCUAAUACCGGAUGAUGACGUUAAGUCCAAAGAUUUAUCGCCGAGGGAUGGGCCCGCGUAGGAUUAGCUAGUUGGUGGGGUAAUGGCCUACCAAGGCGACGAUCCUUAGCUGGUCUGAGAGGAUGAUCAGCCACACUGGGACUGAGACACGGCCCAGACUCCUACGGGAGGCAGCAGUGGGGAAUAUUGGACAAUGGGCGCAAGCCUGAUCCAGCAAUGCCGCGUGAGUGAUGAAGGCCUUCGGGUUGUAAAGCUAUUUUACNCCGGGAUGAUAAUGACAUGA